CCUAAAUCAAAGAUCACACACUGACUUAAUAAACAGGUCCAGGAUGGUAGAAAUGAACAAAUGAAAUUGUUUGAGUAUAAGAAAAACCAAUGGUCACAAAAAAUGGGCUCAAUCUUUCUCUGUUUUUAUAGGAAAUGGAUUUCAAAGAGAGAAACUGGACUGUGACUAACAGCUAAUGUAAAUUCAAAGGGCUAAAUCUGAAUUCACUCCCUGUUAGUGAAAUAUGAGGAGGUUGAAAGUGAGUCGUCAGGUGACUCAGCUAGCAAUGAUGACUUGGAUUAUGUAAACCAAAGAAGAUAGCAAGAUAUGACAGAGAAGUACAGAAUGAAGACCUUGAUUCUGAUGAGGAAGAAAAUGGUAAUAUUAAUAAAUAUCUGACUAGCCAAAAUGCUAUGAAAUGGUCAUGUAUACCUGAACAUUGUUAGAGCUAUGUCAGAAAAUGUUAUUAAGUUCUUUCCAGGGGUGAAACUUACUGGAUGGAAUGCUAGCACUGCAAUUCAAUGUUGGAAAUUUUAAUGGAACAUAUGGCAUAAGAUUAUGUCAAAUACACUAAUAAUGAAAUACCAAAAAAAAGAAGAAGAAAAGAAAAACAGCCUGAUAAUAAAAGGCAAAAAUCCAAGGCCACACUGGGAGGUACAGGAAGUAGCAGAGGCUAGAGAAAUGGAGCCAUGUGACUUCAUCUGAAGCCUAGAGCAGCUGCUCAGCUCAGUUCUAGCCAGCUGUGCCCAUGGACAAAGAGGUUUGGUGUCUUAAUGAGUUGUGUGGCAUUGGCAACAGCUG
rnacentral:lncRNA from 1 species